rnacentral:rRNA from 1 species
UACGUAGGUGACCAGCGUUGUCCGGAUUUACUGGGCGUAAAGAGCGCGCAGGCGGUCGUUCAAGUCGAGUGUGAAAGCCCCCGGCUCAACUGGGGAGGGUCAUUCGAUACUGAUCGACUUGAAGGCAGGAGAGGGUAGUGGAAUUCCCGGUGUAGUGGUGAAAUGCGUAGAUAUCGGGAGGAACACCAGUGGCGAAGGCGACUACCUGGCCUGUUCUUGACGCUGAGGCGCGAAAGCUAGGGGAGCAAACGGG